UACAAAAAUGGGCAAAGAGACCCUAAAGAAAAGACCCAUUGGUUGAGAUAACGGGUCUCUUUAAUAUAAAAGACCCAUUAUUUGAGAUAACGGGUCUCUAAUGAAUGAAAUAAGACAACCUAAACUAAAUUAAGAAUAGCAAGAGACCCGUUAUUUGAUUUAACGGGUCUCUAAUUUACCAUAGGGCCCACAUUCUCUCCACCGAAAAUAAAAAGGGAGAACUAAAAGACCCGUUAUUUAAAACAACGGGUCUCUCCAUGCACUGGAGCCACGGAUUUAAAAAGAAGGAGAAAAGGAAGAGACCCCUUAUUUGUUUACCGGGUCUUUUGCUCUUCCUUCUUCAAAUCUCCCCACAAAUUAAAUGGCAAAAUAAAUGGCAAAAUAAAUAAGGUCUUUUCCAUCUCUCUUCCUCCAUACCACACCUCUCGAUCUGAGAGACCAAAGUGUAGAAAAUCUCCGCGAUGUUGGAGAAUCCAAGGUUCAACGCUUCAAAAUAUUCUCAGAUCUGAACCAGAAGAAAUUAUGGCAUAUGCUAAUUUUCAACCUCGAAGAGUUCAUCGCUCUAGCUAUUUUACAGAGAACAUAGCCUUUUGAAUAUGCAAAGUUUCUUGGGAACUCUCAGUUUUCUCUGCUUCAACUCCAGUCAUACAAACUUGUAUAUGCGCACAUGUUGGCCGAGGUUGGAAGGAUUUCGGAUUCAUUGAAAUACUGUCAAGCUGUUUACAAAUCUCUCAAAAUUGGACGAUCAGCAGAAGAAGAUACAUUGAAACAGUUAUUAUCAUCUCUUGAAGAGAGGAUUAGGACACACCAACAGAGUGGAUAUGCAGCUAACUUGGCUCCAGGAAAGAUAGUGGUUAAAUUGCUCAACUUUUUUGAUAGUAUAGUUCAUCGCAUUGCUCAACUUUUUUGAUAGUACAGUUCAUCGCAUUGUUGAUAGUACUGGUUAAAUGUGUUUCCCAAGACUGUUGUGACUCACGAAUAAUCUGCCGUAGUGAUCGGGCUGCUGAUGAGUCUCAGAGCAAUCAAGUGAAAAGAAAGAAGAUGCUGACCAAAUAAGUAAUGGUAUUGGGAGCGCUGCGGUGCAGGUUUUCCAGGGACAAUCCGAUGUUCUUCUCAGACAUGAAUUUAGUAAGCCAGUACAAGAGACAGAUUAUUUCUGAACCACAUAUACUUGCAAUUGCAUUUGUGUCGUUGCUUCAGGUUAAAAUUUUUUUAAAUGUAUGUUGGGUGAAAAGGAAGAAUAAUAAGAAGAAAAAGGCUAACACAAGCAAGCAAAAACAAAAAUAUAGUAAGUCUAAGAUUUUGUUUUCUGUUUGUAUUUAUGUAUGCAUUUUGCAAUGUUCUUUUUAGAAUCUGGAUUAACAGUUGACUGCUACAUAGUAUAUAACGAGUAUGAUAAAGAAGUUGCUACUUUUCCACUUUGGAUAAAUGCGUUAUUCAAUCGAAUUUUUUAUGUUUCAAAGAUAAAGUUUACAAACAGGCUUAUAGUUCUAUUCUAUACUUUCAGGAUUUCUCUAAAUUUCCAAUACUUGAUUUAUAGAGCUGAGUGAAAGCUUUCUUUUAGUUGGUAUUACAUGAGCAUCUGAAUCUGUACUUAUGGAUAUGAAUCAGGUGAAGAAGAUCUUAAAACUUUACACUAAUGAAAAAUAUGCCCUUACAGUAGAUCAAUGGCAGAGGAAAGAUUUCGAGAUUUUAGUCUCUUUCAAUGUAUGUUUAGAUGCAAUCCUGUUUUGUGCUAAUGGUGGGGUUUUGAACCUUUGAUGAACUGAAACUGUCAUGAAGAUCACGUUUCCUAUGUCUUGAGUCAGGAAAUGAUCCUCUAUAAUUUUUGUAAUUAACCAAAUUAAUUAACAUUAGUACCUUGUUGAUAAUAAACAAAUCAAUAUGAGAUCUCUUAGCAAAAUAUUGAUUUAUUUUUGCUUUAGUUUGUUAGUCAUCACAUUUCCUGAUUGUGUGAAAAUUGGGUUUUUGCAUUUCUAUGAAUUCUUUGCAACAUAGUUUUGAACUUAGUUUUUUUAUUUUAUUUUUAUAAUGGUUGAUUUUACAGGUAGGUGCCACAAGUUUGCCGGUUUUGCAAAGUGUGGCAGGCUUAUUGGCUAUAUGAACAUUGAGAUGAUUCCAUUAAAGUUUGUGAAGCAUUAGAGAAAAACUUGAUGAAUAUGGAAUGCAGAUUUGACAAUUACAUGAAGUUGCUUGAGGAGGAAGGAUGCCAACACGCAUAAACUUAAGCUGAAUGUACCCAAGGAACCCUUAAUUGAGUUUGAUGACUAACUUGAAUCGUUGAUUGUAGUGGAAGUUGAACCAAGUGCGCAUAUUUCAAUUCUCCAUUAUAGAGUGGCUAAUGGCUAAAGAUAUGUCCUGUCAUGAAUUAUUUGUUUUUGUAGAAGGUUUUUAUUGUGACACAAGUUGUAGAAGAUUUUGAUGAAAUAUUUAUUUAUUUAAUUGUUUGUUAAUAAAAAUAUUUUGUCAUUUUUGUGUGUAGUUCAUUAUUGGAGCGUAAUAAUAGUGGUUAGUGCGCAGACAGAGAUGCAGGGUAUUGUUUUUUUUAAAAAUAAAAAUUUUGCAAAGAGACCUGUUAUCUUACCUAGUGGGUCUCCAUAAAACGAACAAAGAGACCUGUUAUCUUACCUAGUGGGUCUCUGUGAAACAAAC